GACGAACGCUGGCGGCGUGCCUAACACAUGCAAGUGGAGCGACGAACCAGGGCUUGCCCUGGGGCGAAGCCGCGAACGGGUGAGUAACACGUGGGUAACCUGCCCCGAUGACUGGGACAACCCGAGGAAACUCGGGCUAAUACCGGAUGAGUUCUCCGACCACGAGGUCGGAUAAGAAAGGUAGCUUCGGCUUCCGCGUCGGGAUGGGCCCGCGGCCCAUUAGCUUGUUGGUGGGGUAAAGGCCUACCAAGGCAACGAUGGGUAGCUGGUCUGAGAGGACGAUCAGCCACACUGGGACUGAGACACGGCCCAGACUCCUACGGGAGGCAGCAGUGGGGAAUCUUGCGCAAUGCGCGAAAGCGUGACGCAGCAACGCCGCGUGGGGGAAGACGGCCUUCGGGUUGUAAACCCCUUUCAGUUGGGACGAAGCUUCGGCGGUGAAUAGCCGUCCGGAGUGACUGUACCUUCAGAAGAAGCUCCGGCUAACUACGUGCCAGCCGCCGCCGUAAAAC
rnacentral:rRNA from 1 species